ACGCAAUAAGCACUCCGCCUGGGGAGUACGGUCGCAAGACUAAAACUCAAAGGAAUUGACGGGGGCCCGCACAAGCAGCGGAGCAUGUGGUUUAAUUCGAAGCAACGCGAAGAACCUUACCAGGGCUUGACAUCGUCUGAAUAUCUUAGAGAUAAGAGAAACCCUUCGGGGCAGAUAGACAGGUGGUGCAUGGUUGUCGUCAGCUCGUGUCGUGAGAUGUUGGGUUAAGUCCCGCGACGAGCGCAACCCCUGCUGUUAGUUGGUACCAUUUAGUUGACCACUCUAACGGGACUGCCGGUGACAAAUCGGAGGAAGGUGGGGACGACGUCAAAUCAUCAUGCCCCUUAUGUCCUGGGCUACACACGUACUACAAUGGCUAAUACAGAGGGAAGCAAGACCGUAAGGUGGAGCAAAUCCCUAAAAUUAGUCCCA
rnacentral:rRNA from 1 species